AAGGUGGGAGACUUUUAUCAGGUUUAGAAUAUCUAUGAAGCAAAAAAAAUGCGCAAAGUCAGAGAUAUUUGCGCAGCUUUUCAUAAGGAAGACUUCGGAGAACUAAAGACAUUUGCCAGUUUUUCAUAAAAAGACUUCGGAGAGCUGGGAAAAUAACUACGCUUUAGCUGUAUAAUCUGAAUUAUAGUAAGAUUAGCCACGUCCCUAUCAGAUAGGGAAGCUGGAUUCUCCUUGAAAGCCUUGGUUUGUGGCGGUCAGUACAGGGGAACCGUAAAAAUAGACCUAGAUUUCCAUGAGCUUCGGGUGGAUUUCGAAAUUAAGAAGAUAAGUGUUGAGUGGUUGUUCCUGACCUAGCUCAACAACGAAAAUCCAAUCAGGAAAUAAACGUGUAGAAAGCUCUUUAAUUGCUUGUUUGGACCCGGGUUCGAUUCCCGGC
rnacentral:tmRNA from 1 species